rnacentral:rRNA from 1 species
CCGAUAUACUUUAGUGGGGGAAGUCCUGGGAACUAGGUUUAACACCGCAUGUGAUCUUCGGAUCAAAGAUGGCCUUUGGCUAUCGCUUUAAGAUGGGCUCGCGUCCUAUCAGCUAGUUGGUGAGGUAAAGGCUCACCAAGGCGACGACGGGUAGCUGUUCUGAGAGGAAGAUCAGCAACACUGGAACUGAGACACGGUCCAGACACCUACGGGUGGCAGCAGUCGAGAAUCAUUCACAAUGGACGAAAGUCUGAUGGUGCAACGCCGCGUGGAGGAUGAAGGCCCUAGGGUCGUAAACUCCUGUCAUAUAAGAGUAAGGCAUAGACGUUAAUAUCGUUUAUGUUUGAUAGUAUUAUAAGAGGAAGGGACGGCUAACUUCGUGCCAGCAGCCGCGGUAAUACGAAGGUCCCGAGCGUUAUUCGGAAUCACUGGGCGUAAAGGGAGCGUAGGCUGCGUGGUAAGUCAGAUGUGAAAUCUCAGGGCUCAACCUUGAAACUGCAUUCGAUACUGCCAUGCUAGAGUAAUGGAGAGGUAACUGGAAUUCUCGGUGUAGCAGUGAAAUGCGUGGAUAUCGAGAGGAAGACCAAUGGCGAAAGCAGGUUACUGGACAUUUACUGACGCUGAGGCUCGAAGGCUAGGGUAGCGAAUGGGAUUAGAUACCCCUGUAGUC